GCCCUUGUAGCUCAGUAGGUAGAGCACUUGACUUUUAAUCAAGUUGUCCGGAGUUCGACUCUCCGCAAGAGCACCA
rnacentral:tRNA from 1 species